GGCUGGAGGCGGGAGGCGCUCCGCCCGGGCCCCUGGUUCUAGUGCCGCCAGGGGCCCCAAAGAUGGGGAGGCUUUGGGGAAGGGGGGGCAGUCGCCGUCCUUGAACAGAGGCGGCCAGGAGGGCAUCCGAGGGCCGCCCUCCCCUGCUGCUGAACACCAAGAGGGAACCGAGAGGGAAUCCGGUUCACUGUGCGCCCCGCGGCUCUGGGGCUCCGGCUGUGAUGGGAGCAAAGCCAACCACCCCCUCACGGAGCUUCCGUUCCGUUCCACGCGAGACACGGUCCAUGAAGUCCCCACGAUAGGCAGGCCGGACUUGGCCCUGGGGCUAGGAAGGGGACAGCGACAGCGGGCAGCGCGCUCCCGCCAGGCAGGGCGGCUACCUUGAGUCUGGGCGCCCGGCCGCCUCCCCCGGACCAGCGGACCAGCGGUCUCCAGCAGCAACCCGAACCCCGGAUUUUAUUUAUUCGAGACCCGGAGAGAGAGGCAGAGACACGGGCAGAGGGAGAAGCAGGCUCUAUGCGGGGACCCCUACGCGGGACUCGAUCCCAGGACCCAGGGGGGUCGCACCCUGAGCCGAAGGCCGGCGCUCUACUGCUGAGCCCCCUGGCGCCCCUGCAACCUCAGUUGUUUGUGGAGAGUUGGUCAGACCUGUUGUUUGGUGGUGGAGCCGCCUGGAAGGGGCAGGGCCGUGACCCUCCUCACCUCGGGCUCACCCCGGACAAGGAUCCCUCCUGCAGGAAUGGAGUCUGGAAGCGCGCCCGCAGGCACGCGGCCUACGCAGCAGCUCCUACUCCAAGCCAAAGAGCUGCUGGAGGCCAGACUCUGUCUACACUAGGCUCUCUCUGCCUAGUGGGGAUCAGAGUGCAGAUCAUCUACUUUUCAAUAGGCCUGGGAUUUGGAGCCAGGUGACAGGGCCACAGAACACGACUCCUGGACAGUCCAAGCCCCCGAGGUGUUCCCGGGGAAGUUCCUUGGACGGUGUACCCUCCUCUGAUGCCCGCUCCACGUCCUCAGGUGUACCCUCCUCUGAUGCCCGCUCCACGUCCUCAGGUGUACCCUCCUCUGAUGCCCGCUCCAGGCCAGCCUCUAGAGUCUUCUCCACCACCCUAGCUCUUCCCUGGCUCAGCACCGGGUCUGAUGGCCUAGUUAGGGCGCUCUCCCCCUAACCUGUGCUUUCCAAUGUCAGCAACAGCCACUGGCCACAUGUGCCUACUGCACUCACGGAACCUGGGACGUGGCGUGCAGUAUAAAACAUACACAGGAUUUUGAAUACUCCACGUCAAGCAUGUAAAAUAUCUUUUUGAUAAUUCUUAUACUGAUUACACGCUGAGAUCAUAUUUCGGAUGUGUUGAGUUAAAUAAAACAUUGUUAACAUUAAGUUUACCAUUUUUUAAAAAAAUGUGUGCAUGCCAGAAAAUUUAAAAGGAUGCACAUUUGUGCUGGACAGGGCUGUGCCUCGAUGAAGUCCACAGGGUAAGGGGCCAUGGACAUUUUGUCCACACUUAAUACCCGGCGCCUGGUGGUAUAGGUGAGCAACAAUCAGGGUUAUCGGACGCGUGUUUGACAGUUACACUCUCCAUCAGCCCAGAAGCAUUCGGCACAGCCUGCUACAGGAAUGCGUAAUUUAAAUGUCAGUUUAUUAAAAAACAAAAAAAAAAACAAGCCAAAAAUAGAUAAAUAAAAACAAAGAAGAACACAACCACCAAGCCAAAACAAAAAGUCUCAGGCCUAAAAUUUGCCAGAAAGGGAAAAAAGUGGGAAUGAAGGGGUCAGGGUCUCAGCCUUUCUUCUGAGGGGCUGGGGUGGGGAGUAGAUAUUCAGACCUUUGUCAAUCAGAACAAGGAAUUAACAAAAAGAAACCCCAGGGCUUCCAGGUGGCUCACUGGUUGAGCAUCUGCCUUCAGCUCAGGGUGUGACCCCGGGGUCCUGGGAUCGAGUCCUGCUUGGGGCUUCUAGCUUCCCUGAUGGGAAGCCCAUGGUGGAGGCCUCGGGAGCUCUCCUGCUGGGCAGCAGAGCGGGG